CAUUUGAAAGGCAGCUUUGACAGUGAGAAAGAACGUGAGAGGCAGCAGGAGGAGGGGUGUACGAGAGCAAGAGACACAGUGAGUGACUGAGAGAGAGAGCGAGCAGGGGAGAGAGAGAGAGACCGAGGCAAGGGCUGUACAAGCAUGCCUUUUAUAUUUACUAGCGACUGAGGGGAAGAGAGAGAGAGUGAGAGAGAGGGUGAAGAGAGAGACAACCGAUGUGCACAGCUUUCCCAAGAGGAAAUUAAAAGAAAGAAGCUCAGCGAAAAGAGUGAGAGAGAGAGAAGGGGAGGGAGAGGAGGAGGAGGAGAGAGAGAGAGAGAGAGAGAGAGAGAGAGAGAGAGGGAGCAUGCAGGCGAGAGGGAGAGAGAGAGAGAGCGAGAGAGAGAGAGAGAGAGAGAGAGAGAAUCUCACGCUGGCUGUCUCCUAAUCCUAGUCCAUCUCUAAGAGGGAGCAGAGGGUUAGUGAAGUGAUCCAGAGCCAGCAUAGCGUCUCUUCUCCACCAGCUAGCACCACUUGCGUGCUCAUACACACACUCUCACACACACACACACACUUGCAACGGGAUUCCGCGGUGGGUCCGCCUGCCUGCCUGCCUGCCUGCCUGCGUGUCCAGGUCUAUUGUGAGCGUGAGGGGAUUGUUGUGCCUCCAGUCGGUCCAGCCAGCCAGCCAGCACAGCCCCAGUGCGUUUGGGAGCAGGGGUCCCCAGCUGGGCCGUUUUGGGGGGCACAGGAGUCUAAAGAAGAGGAGGAGGAAGGAAAGAGGAGGAAGAGGAGAGAGUAAGUGCACUCAACGCUGGAAAGGAGUCAACGCUGGAAAUGCCCAUCAGGUUAGGCCAUCCUGGAACAACUUCUGGGGGUCUAAGCCUGUCACAGCCUCGGCCAAUCGCAGCCUGCGUUAGAGGUGGCGGCUGCGUGUGAUUGGAGGAUGGCGACCAUGCCGUUCGUCAGCGAGGGAAAGUGUGUGAGCGUGGAGUGGGACUUCCUACAGGGACUACUGGCCAAACCCCCCACCCUGCCCUGGUGAGCAAUACACACACACACACACACACACACACACACACACACACACACACACACACACACACAUUAGCAUUGCAUAGGGAGUGCUAACACACACAAACACUUACUCAUAUUCUAAACAAUCACAUCCACACAGCCCCUCUCACACACCCUACUGUAUAGUAAAAUGCUUAUUGCUCUGUAGCCUUGGGUGCCAUGGCUGUUAAUCCCUUUCCCUCAGUGGGAGAUUACGUACAUUUGGCUGGAAUUAUUAAUGGACGGUCAUUUAUAGGCGGAUAUAAAAAC
rnacentral:lncRNA from 1 species